rnacentral:rRNA from 1 species
GAUGAACGCUAGCGGGAGGCUUAACACAUGCAAGUCGAGGGGCAUCACGAGGUAGCAAUACUUUGGUGGCGACCGGCGCACGGGUGAGUAACGCGUAUGUAACCUACCCUAUACAGGGGGAUAGCCCGGAGAAAUUCGGACUAAUAUCCCAUAAUGAUAUUGAAAGGCAUCUUUUAAUAUUUAAAGCUCAGGCGGUACGGGAUGGGCAUGCGGAACAUUAGCUAGUUGGUAGGGUAACGGCCUACCAAGGCUGCGAUGUUUAGGGGACCUGAGAGGGUUAUCCCCCACACUGGUACUGAGACACGGACCAGACUCCUACGGGAGGCUG